rnacentral:rRNA from 1 species
CGUGUGGGAUAAAAUAACCCAUGAACCCGCCGCCCUGUGGAAUAGCCCCUUCGGGGCUAUUGCCACGGGUGCUGGUAAAGACCAAGGUCGCUGGAGGAUGAGCUCGCGUAGGAUUAUGGUUGUUGGUGAGGUAAUGGCCCACCAAGCCUCUGAUCCUUAGCCGUCCUGAGAGGGGGACCGGCCACGGUGGCACUGAGACACGGGCCACACGCAAUAUUUGCGGCAGCAGUGGAUAAGAUUUGACAAUGGGCGAAAGCCUGAUCGAGCCACACCCCGUGAGCGAAGAAGGCCGAUGAGUCGUAAAGCUCUAAAGCUCAGCGACGACCGCUGGGCGAUAAGUACCGGCUAACUCUGUGCCAGCAGCCGCGGUAAGACAGAGGGUGCAAGCGUUUUCCGGAAUGACUGGGCGUAAAGGGCACGUAGGCGGUGUUCCUAUUUCUCUGGAUGAAUUCCAUGGCUUACCCAUGGAGCAUCUAAAGUGUGGGUCCACUUGAGUGUGAUAGAGGAGAGUGGAAUUUCUAGUGUAGAGGUCAAAUUCGUAGAGACUAGAAGGAACACCGACAGCGAAGGCAGCUCUCUGGGUCAUCACUGACGCUGAGGUGCGGAAGCGUGGGUAGCAAAAGGGAUUAGAUACCCCUGUAGUCCACGCCGUCAACGAUGAGUGUUAGGUUUUGUCAUGGGUGGCAGAGCCGUAGCUAACGCGUUAAACACUCCGCCUGGGGACUACGGUCGCAAGAUUAAAACUCAAAGGAAUUGGCGGUAGCUCAAACAAGCGGCGGAACAUGCCGUUUAAUUCGAAACAACGCGCAAAACCUUACCAACCCUUGACAUGAAUUCGAGCACUUGCUGUAAUCACAAGAUGGUUUUUUUCCGAAAAAGCGGCCGCUCGCUCGGAAGACCCCGCAGCAAUUCACAGGUGCUGCAUGGCUGUCGUCAGUUCGUGGCGUGAGUCGUUUGGUUAAUUCCUGCAACGAACGAAACCCCUGGUUUGUGUUGCUAAUCAAAAAGCUACUCUCAAACGACUGCCUGCGAUAUGCAGGAGAAGGGCGGGGACCACGUCAAGUCGUCAUGGCCCUGAUGGGUUGGGCUACUCGGUGUGUUACAAUGGUGUCCACAAAGGGAUGCGAUAGUGCAAGCUGGAGCGAAACCUAAAAAGUCAUCAUCGUUCGGAUUGUUCUCUGCAACUCGAGAACAUGAAGUCGGAGUCGCUAGUAAUCG